ensembl:miRNA microRNA let-7f-1
CGAGGUGAGGUAGUAGGUUGUAUAGUUUGUGGGAUUGAGUAAAUCCUACUCAGGUGAUAACUACACAGCCUAUUACCUUCCUUGAGAGGUACAAUG